rnacentral:lncRNA from 1 species
ACCAGUACAUCAUAUCUAUGCACUAAAUCCAAACUUUUAUUCAUAUUCCUACCUGAACUAUAAUUUCCAAAAUGCAAAAGCAUCAAAGACUUUUGCAUAUACUUCAUCUACCUAUAAUUUAUUUCCAAAAAAAAAACUCCUCUCGCCCCCGAGAUGGAACCAUUUCAACAACAACAACAAUCCAGUAUAAUCUCACUAAGUGGGGUGUGGGGAGGGUAGUGUGUAUCCGCAGACCUUACCCCUACCCUAGGAUAGAGAGGCUGUUUCCAAAGAAAUGGAACCACUUCAUUCUUUCUAAAUAUAGUAUAAUUUUAUUCGCUACAAUUACAUAAUACGAUCACGAUUGCUCGUAUGCAAACAUGAUCGACUCAUAAAUAAAUAAAUAUGAUGUAAUGUUUUUAUUGGAAUGGUAGAACUUAGGUUGAUCAUAGUCAACUCUUGCCAUAAGUUCUAUCAGCAAAUUCUUGACAAGCUUUUUCACAUCCUCCAAUAGUAGCACCUGGAACUGCUAGGCAUGUUGGCAUGCAUUCUUUGGCCUUUUCUGAGAGUUCUGCUCUUGCUACAUUUCCAUGUUGGACCAAUACAACUAGCAUACAAAGGAUAAACAAAGUCGUCAAUUGAAUUUUUGCCAUUGUUUUUAUUCUUUUAAAAAUGAUUUAAGUUUUGAGACAAG